rnacentral:rRNA from 1 species
AUGCAGAUUCUCGUGGACACUGUCGCCGGCGAGACGAUCUCCCUCAAGGUCGAUCCAUCAGACACUAUCUACCUUGUCAAGGAAAAGAUCCAGGAUAAGCAGCUCCUCACCUUCAACGGGGAGCAGCUCGACGCGCUGGCCGACUAUGGCGUCCGUGACGGAUCCGCUCUUGGCCUCCGCCUCCAUCCGCUCCAUGAGAAGAUGCAGAUCCAUGUGGUUGAGAGCCUGACGGGCAGGGUCAUGAACCUUGCAGUCACGACCUCAGAUACAGUCGACAAUGUCAAGGCCAAGAUUCACAAGUGGCACGGUUUUCCCAAGGAUCAACAGUGCCUCAUCUUCGCCAACAGACAGCUCGACGACGACGAAGAAGAAGGCAGGACCCUGGCGGACCUCAACAUCCGCAACGACGCCACCCUCCUCCUCGUCCUACACAGCCGGUGUCCCAGAGGGAUGAUGAAGAUCUACGUGAAGACGCUACGGCAAAAUUUCUAUAAUCUUGAGGUGAGGAGCACAGAUACCGUCUAUAAUGUCAAGGAGAAGAUUUGGGCUGCGGAAGGCAUUCCCCCGGGCCAGCAGAGCCUCAUAUUUGACGGCAAGAAAAUGAAGGAUGACCGUACCUUGGCACACUAUAAUAUCCAGAUGUAUGAAGUUCUCUAUUUUGUGCUCAACCUACGUGGUUGA